GGUUAAGUUAGAAAGGGCGCACGGUGAAUGCCUUGGCACUAGGAGCCGAUGAAGGACGGGACUAACACCGAUAUGCUUCGGGGAGCUGUAAGUGAGCUUUGAUCCGGAGAUUUCCGAAUGGGGAAACCCACUGUUCGUAAUGGAACAGUAUCUUUAUCUGAAUACAUAGGAUAUUGAAGGCAGACCCGGGGAACUGAAACAUCUAAGUACCCGGAGGAAGAGAAAGCAAAUGCGAUUUCCUGAGUAGCGGCGAGCGAAACGGAAUUAGCCCAAACCAAGAGGCUUGCCUCUUGGGGUUGUAGGACACUCUAUACGGAGUUACAAAGGAACGAAGUAAAUGAAGCGACCUGGAAAGGUCCGUCGAAGAAGGUAACAACCCUGUAGUUGAAACUUCGUUCCCUCUUGAGUGGAUCCUGAGUACGGCGGAACACGUGAAAUUCCGUCGGAAGCUGGGAGGACCAUCUCCCAAGGCUAAAUACUACCUAGUGACCGAUAGUGAACCAGUACCGUGAGGGAAAGGUGAAAAGCACCCCGGAAGGGGAGUGAAAGAGAUCCUGAAACCGUGUGCCUACAAGUAGUCAGAGCCCGUUAACGGGUGAUGGCGUGCCUUUUGUAGAAUGAACCGGCGAGUUACGAUCCCAUGCAAGGUUAAGCUGAUAAGGCGGAGCCGUAGCGAAAGCGAGUCUGAAUAGGGCGUUUAGUAUGUGGUUGUAGACCCGAAACCAGGUGAUCUACCCAUGUCCAGGGUGAAGUUCAGGUAACACUGAAUGGAGGCCCGAACCCACGCACGUUGAAAAGUGCGGGGAUGAGGUGUGGGUAGCGGAGAAAUUCCAAUCGAACCUGGAGAUAGCUGGUUCUCUCCGAAAUAGCUUUAGGGCUAGCCUCAUGUUGUGAGAGUCUUGGAGGUAGAGCACUGAUUGGACUAGGGGCCCCCAACGGGUUACCGAAUUCAGUCAAACUCCGAAUGCCAAAGACUUAUCCAUGGGAGUCAGACUGCGAGUGAUAAGAUCCGUAGUCAAAAGGGAAACAGCCCAGACCACCAGCUAAGGUCCCCAAGUAUACGUUAAGUGGAAAAGGAUGUGGAGUUGCUUAGACAACCAGGAUGUUGGCUUAGAAGCAGCCACCAUUUAAAGAGUGCGUAAUAGCUCACUGGUCGAGUGACUCUGCGCCGAAAAUGUACCGGGGCUAAACGUAUCACCGAAGCUGUGGAUUGACAUCUUAGAUGUCAGUGGUAGGAGAGCGUUCUAAGUGCAGCGAAGUCAGACCGUAAGGACUGGUGGAGCGCUUAGAAGUGAGAAUGCCGGUAUGAGUAGCGAAAGACAAGUGAGAAUCUUGUCCACCGAAUGCCUAAGGUUUCCUGAGGAAGGCUCGUCCGCUCAGGGUUAGUCGGGACCUAAGCCGAGGCUGAAAAGCGUAGGCGAUGGCCAACAGGUUGAUAUUCCUGUACCACCUCCCCGCCGUUUGAGUAAUGGGGGGACGCAGUAGGAUAGGGUAAGCGCGCUGCUGGAUAUGCGCGUUCAAGCAGUUAGGCUGAUGAGUAGGCAAAUCCGCUCAUCAUAAAGGCUGAGCUGUGAUGACGAGGGAAUUAUAGUACCGAAGUUCCUGAUUCCACACUGCCAAGAAAAGCCUCUAGCGAGGCGGGAGGUGCCCGUACCGCAAACCGACACAGGUAGGCGAGGAGAGAAUCCUAAGGUGAUCGAGAGAACUCUCGUUAAGGAACUCGGCAAAAUGACCCCGUAACUUCGGGAGAAGGGGUGCUCUGGUAGGGUGUAUAGCCCGAGAGAGCCGCAGUGAAUAGGCCCAGGCGACUGUUUAGCAAAAACACAGGUCUCUGCGAAGCCGCAAGGCGAAGUAUAGGGGCUGACGCCUGCCCGGUGCUGGAAGGUUAAGAGGAGGGGUUAUCCUUUGGGAGAAGCUCUGAAUCGAAGCCCCAGUAAACGGCGGCCGUAACUAUAACGGUCCUAAGGUAGCGAAAUUCCUUGUCGGGUAAGUUCCGACCCGCACGAAAGGCGUAACGAUCUGGGCACUGUCUCAACGAGAGACUCGGUGAAAUUAUAGUACCUGUGAAGAUGCAGGUUACCCGCGACAGGACGGAAAGACCCCGUGGAGCUUUACUGUAGCCUGAUAUUGAAUUUUGGUACAGCUUGUACAGGAUAGGUAGGAGCCUGAGAAGCCGGAGCGCUAGCUUCGGUGGAGGCGUCGGUGGGAUACUACCCUGGCUGUAUUGAAAUUCUAACCCGCGGCCCUGAUCGGGCCGGGAGACAGUGUCAGGUGGGCAGUUUGACUGGGGCGGUCGCCUCCUAAAAUGUAACGGAGGCGCCCAAAGGUUCCCUCAGAAUGGUUGGAAAUCAUUCGUAGAGUGUAAAGGCACAAGGGAGCUUGACUGCGAGACCUACAAGUCGAGCAGGGACGAAAGUCGGGCUUAGUGAUCCGGUGGUUCCGCAUGGAAGGGCCAUCGCUCAACGGAUAAAAGCUACCCCGGGGAUAACAGGCUUAUCUCCCCCAAGAGUCCACAUCGACGGGGAGGUUUGGCACCUCGAUGUCGGCUCAUCGCAUCCUGGGGCUGUAGUCGGUCCCAAGGGUUGGGCUGUUCGCCCAUUAAAGCGGUACGCGAGCUGGGUUCAGAACGUCGUGAGACAGUUCGGUCCCUAUCCGUCGUGGGCGUAGGAAAUUUGAGAGGAGCUGUCCUUAGUACGAGAGGACCGGGAUGGACACACCGCUGGUGUACCAGUUGUCUUGCCAAAGGCAUCGCUGGGUAGCUAUGUGUGGACGGGAUAAGUGCUGAAAGCAUCUAAGCAUGAAGCCCCCCUCAAGAUGAGAUUUCCCAUAGCGUAAGCUAGUAAGAUCCCUGAAAGAUGAUCAGGUUGAUAGGUCAGAGGUGGAAGCGUGGCGACAUGUGUAGCUGACUGAUACUAAUCGAUCGAGGACUUAACCAA
rnacentral:rRNA from 1 species